GACGAACGCUGGCGGCGUGCUUAACACAUGCAAGUCGAACGGAAAGGCUCCAGCUUGCUGGAGUGCUCGAGUGGCGAACGGGUGAGUAACACGUGGGCAAUCUGCCCUGCACUCUGGGAUAAGCCUGGGAAACUGGGUCUAAUACCGGAUAGGACCUUUCUCCUCAUGGGGUUUGGUGGAAAGUUUUUCGGUGCAGGAUGAGCCCGCGGCCUAUCAGCUUGUUGGUGGGGUAAUGGCCUACCAAGGCGACGACGGGUAGCCGGCCUGGGAGGGUGAUCGGCCACAUUGGGACUGAGAUACGGCCCAGACUCCUACGGGAGGCAGCAGUGGGGAAUAUUGCACAAUGGGCGAAAGCCUGAUGCAGCGACGCCGCGAGAGGGAUGACGGCCUUCGGGUUGUAAUCCUCUUUCAGUAGGGACGAAGCGCAAGUGACGGUACCUGCAGAAGAAGCACCGGCUAACUACGUG
rnacentral:rRNA from 1 species